GUUAAUUCCACUGGCACUGUUUUACCCCAGCACGUUUUCUCUGGAGAUUUUGCUGCCCUGCUGUGCUGCCUACGUGGAGGAAGCAAAGCUCCAAGUGCUGCUCCACGUGCUCUCUGACUCUUUAUCUGCAAGGCUCCUGCCUUCUCCUGUCACACAUUGAGUCCAGCUGCCUCAGAGCUGCUGCCCCACACAGUUUUGUCUGCAGCACACCUGGGAGCUCUUCAGCAUCGUGGCUUUCAUCUGCUGUGGGAGAGAGAGCCCUUCAAUGUCCUCUCAGCACAGGAGAAUGACCAGGUGAAGGGCUGGAUGUCUCUGGCAGGGGCAAAGAGAAGAUUCUAAGAGCAAGAGGAUUUCUUUUGCUUUCACCACCUGCUUCUACUGCUCAUCCCUGUGAGUGAGACUUUUCCACAUCUAAAAUAUCUCCUGAGACCAGUUCAUUCCUUUGUACCAGGUUGGUACUGACACAACCAUUUAAUCAUUUGUAUUGAUUAAUUAAUUACUAAAAUCAAACUUAGAAAUCAACCAAAGCUUUCCAUCCUUCUUUUAUUGCCUCUUUUAAAUUUUUUCUUAACUGUGCCAUAUUCUACAUCUUAUUACUGCUCAGCUUUUCUAUAUAUUUGGAUUUCUUCUGACCAGGAGCUGUUUGAUUUGACAGAUUCUGUAUUUGCAGCAUCAAAAUAUGUUGCUAUGGAAAAAGUUACGAGUUCUAAUUAAAAAUGCAGAGGUCACAAGUUUCCCAGAACCAGCAGGGCAUAGAUCCUAGGAGAAAGGAAUCACAACAUAAAAAAUCCAGAGAUAUGUCACUCUGCAACUUUCCAGAUCUGAAAAGGGAACAGCAAGCAUUGAGGACAAAACAGGAGGCUGAAAUUCAUUCAGAUGCUAACUUCUCCUUCCCACUGGCACAAGCUGCUUCUGGAACUCAUGCAGAGCACUGAGAUUUGAAAUGUCAUCCUAAUAGAACUGAAACUGAGGAGAGAGAGAAAUUAGAUGGGCUUUAAUAAAGAGAAAUCAGAGCAGAAAUUAGGUCAUCCUUUCAACUCCAAUACUGAAUUAAUUUUCAUGUUGUGGUGCUGGGGUUUUGAUGAACAACCUGUGUCCAUCAGAGUGCCCCAAGGUGCCUGAUGGAAGCUCAGCAAGGCCAUACCAAGAGUCUUCUCUGAGCUGUGACCCCACACAAGGCAGAAUAUUUUUCCUUAAAUAAUCAUGAAAUAUCUGAAAUUAGGAGGGACCCAUGAGGAUCAUCGUGUCCAACUCCCUGUUCCUGUCCUGAGCCUUUGAAAGAUCAUCCUGUUGGAAAACACCCUCAGGCACAGGGUGGGCUUUGGGGUUGUCCUGUGCAGGAGCUGGGCUGGAUCCUCCUUGUGGGACCCUUCCAGCUCAGGAUAUUCUGUGAUUUUAGCUUUUCUAUGAUUUUAGCAUUUUUAACAGUUCAAUACCUUGAGUUUUCUAACUAUUUACAGUUUCCCCUCUUACAAACUAUUAUUUCUAAACAAUUCUUGUGGCUUUCCUCUCCUCUUGCUCCAGUUCAGCCAAACUAAGAACCACCAGUGCAAUCACAGCCUUGGGUCUGAGCUGCCUCACCUGUGACCAGGGGUGCCCACGCAAUUCCUCAAUAUCUGAAUUGAUCAAUGGAUCAAUAUCUGCAUCAGAGCACAACAUUCCAGCUCAGCUCAGCUGUACCAAACCUUUGUCUCCUAGGAACAUACCUGCUCUGGGCUAGGUUGGCCAUUUCUGCAAUAUUUUGGUAAAAGAAACAGUUAAAACAUCAAAUCAUAGAAACUCUCAAACUGGAAGGGACUCACAAGGCUCAUCAAAGUCCAAUACUUCUACUCUAAUUGUAUUUAGCUUCUAAUCUUUUGACAGUGUUGGAGCUCUCAGAGCUCCCACUGCAGUAAUUUUUUAUUUUUAAAUGACAAAUUUAGUGUAAAUAUCUUGCAGUUUGUGUCCCCUGCCCUGCAGGGGCACAGCAGUUUUUCUCCUGAACAUCUGGGGAGGUGAUGCUGCUACACCCAGAGCCUGGGGAUGCCCAAGGGAUGCCCAGCUCCUCUCUGAGAGCUGCUGAGUUUCUGUCUUGGGGAAAAGGGAAGCUUGAUCAUGGCUCCUGCUCCUCAGUUCUGCUUCUGGAUAGAAAAAAUGUAACAUUUCCUCACAGAUAUUUGAUAUUUUUCCAUAGAAAACACAGAGCCAUGUUCCAGAAAAUGUAUUUUUGGGAGGGUGGGCAGGCCCUGGCACAGGGUGCCCAGAGCAGCUGGGGCUGCCCCUGGAUCCCUGGAAGUGUCCAAGGCCAGGCUGGACAUUGAGGC